GAUGAAGAACGCAGCGAAAUGCGAUAAGUAAUGUGAAUUGCAGAAUUCAGUGAAUCAUCGAAUCUUUGAACGCACAUUGCGCCCGCCAGUAUUCUGGCGGGCAUGCCUGUUCGAGCGUCAUUACAACCCUCAGGCCCCCGGGCCUGGCGUUGGGGAUCGGCGGAAGCCCCCUGUGGGCACACGCCGUCCCUCAAAUACAGUGGCGGUCCCGCCGCAGCUUCCAUUGCGUAGUAGCUAACACCUCGCAACUGGAGAGCGGCGCGGCCAUGCCGUAAAACACCCAACUUCUGAAUGUUGACCUCGAAUCAGGUAGGAAUACCCGCUGAACUUAAGCAUAUCAAUAAGCGGACGA
rnacentral:misc_RNA from 1 species